UGCCUCCUAAAGACUACCCUGCCCUUUGGAAUGCUCCAAAGUGCCUGUUUACAAUUUGAUCAUUCUGGUGUCCUAUCCCUUUCCUGACUCUUUCUGCUGCCAGCAUGAUCACAAUAUUUUCAAUGUGCAGAAGAGCAGCACUCUCCAAUCUCUGCAAUGGGGGGAAGGAUCAGAUAUAAUAGCACCAAGAAGUCAUUAUAUAAUCAGAUAACAUAUUUCCUAUGAAUGAGGAACGUGAAAGCGAGGAUUUACAAGGACCACCAACAGAAAAAUCUGUAUCAAGAAAUUCUUUGACUUUUAGAGGGUCCCGGAAGUCUGGAAUUGCUGAUGAUCUAUCAUCAAAUAAUCCUAGCCAUAUCUGUUUACAUACCUUUUCAAAGAGAAACAAUAUUAAAUUAAAUCUACUUCCGUCUGAUCACUUAAUGAACUGAAAAAA